ACUCCUGAGAGGUUGAGGCCGUUGUGGUCGGAAGAAGGUGUGGACCGCGGAGCUCAGCGAAGGAGCCGCGGGGAAUAGCUGACGUGGGUGGAGCGCCAGGCCAUCCUUCCUCCCGCCCGGAUCCGGCCGCCGGGCCAUAAAGUCGCCCCAUAUGGCCAGGGGCGGCCCCACACCCGGGUGCGAACAACCCGGGGCCCCCGAGCCUCGCGUGCAGACACUUUAUCCUGAAGCCUCCGAGUGUUCACGCAUCAUUCUGCAGAGAGUCAUGUUCUUGAUUUGAGGCAGAGCUCCAGGAGAAUCGGACAGAUCCACCAGCAGGAGGCGAAUUUGGGGUGAAGGUGUAUAAGACCCAGUCUGGGGGUUGAGGGGUGCGGAACUUUAUUUUUCAGGGUCGGUGGGG